rnacentral:rRNA from 2 species
GAGUUUGAUCGUGGCUCAGAGCGAACGCUGGCGGCAGGCUUAACACAUGCAAGUCGAGCGGGCGUAGCAAUACGUCAGCGGCAGACGGGUGAGUAACGCGUGGGAACGUACCUUUUGGUUCGGAACAACACAGGGAAACUUGUGCUAAUACCGGAUAAGCCCUUACGGGGAAAGAUUUAUCGCCGAAAGAUCGGCCCGCGUCUGAUUAGCUAGUUGGUAGGGUAACGGCCUACCAAGGCGACGAUCAGUAGCUGGUCUGAGAGGAUGAUCAGCCACAUUGGGACUGAGACACGGCCCAAACUCCUACGGGAGGCAGCAGUGGGGAAUAUUGGACAAUGGGGGCAACCCUGAUCCAGCCAUGCCGCGUGAGUGAUGAAGGCCCUAGGGUUGUAAAGCUCUUUUGUGCGGGAAGAUAAUGACGGUACCGCAAGAAUAAGCCCGGCUAACUUCGUGCCAGCAGCCGCAGUAAC